rnacentral:rRNA from 1 species
UACGGAGGGUGCAAGCGUUGUUCGGAAUUAUUGGGCGUAAAGGGCAGGUAGGUGGUCUUCUAAGUCUACUGUGAAAUCCCAGGGCUUAACUCUGGAAGUGCGGUAGAUACUGGAAGACUAGAGUGCUGGAGGGGUGCGUGGAAUUCCCGGUGUAGCGGUGAAAUGCGCAGAUAUCAGGAGGAACACCGAUGGCGAAGGCAGGUCUCUGGGCCGAUACUGACGCUGAGGCGCGAAAGCGUGGGGAGCAAACAGG